rnacentral:rRNA from 1 species
GGGGGAUAUUGCACAAUGGAGGGAACUCUGAUGCAGCGAUGCCGCGUGACGGAAGACGGUCUUCGGAUUGUAAACCUCUGUCUUCAGGGACGAACACAAUGACGGUACCUGAGGAGGAAGCUCCGGCUAACUACGUGCCAGCAGCCGCGGUAAUACGUAGGGAGCAAGCGUUGUCCGGAAUUACUGGGUGUAAAGGGAGUGUAGGCGGGUCUCCAAGUCCGUUGUCAAAUCUAUCGGCUCAACCGAUAGCCGCGGCGGAAACUGGAAGUCUUGAGUGAAGUAGAGGCAGGCGGAAUUCCUAGUGUAGCGGUGAAAUGCGUAGAUAUUAGGAGGAACACCAGUGGCGAAGGCGGCCUGCUGGGCUUUAACUGACGCUGAGGCUCGAAAGUGUGGGGAGCAAAC